CAGUCGCCGCGGGAAUACGUAGGGUGCGAGCGUUGUCCGGAAUUAUUGGGCGUAAAGAGCUCGUAGGCGGUUUGUUGCGUCGGCUGUGAAAACCUGCGGCUUAACUGUGGGCUUGCAGUCGAUACGGGCAGACUUGAGUUCGGCAGGGGAGACUGGAAUUCCUGGUGUAGCGGUGAAAUGCGCAGAUAUCAGGAGGAACACCGGUGGCGAAGGCGGGUCUCUGGGCCGAUACUGACGCUGAGGAGCGAAAGCGUGGGGAGCGAACAGGAUUAGAUACCCGGGUAGUCCCUGUCUCUUAUAC
rnacentral:rRNA from 1 species